GGACACUCGUGUUUGCUGUUGAGCUGAGGCGGGCCAGCCGUGGGAGAUGAGAAAGUAGAAUGUCCUGUGAGUACUCCAUCUGGAAAUUCACAGAAGCCAACAGAAGAGAAGACAAAUUAGUAACCCUGGGAAGACAGAAAGACUGCCUGUAGCAACAUGACUGAAGUAUUUUGGCAUUCUCUUGUUUUUUUUCUUUUAAUAUUUAUUUCGGUGCAGUUGUCACUACUUGCUAGAACAUGAAAUGAUUUGACAGCUCCUUAGGUUUUUUGGUUUGUUUUUUUUAAAAACAUUUGUGUGUGGUUAUUAUAAUUAAACCACAAGGUGAAGCUGUGUGAGAUGAGGAC